rnacentral:rRNA from 1 species
AUACGGAGGAUCCGAGCGUUAUCCGGAUUUAUUGGGUUUAAAGGGAGCGUUGGCGGGAGAUCAAGUCAGCUGUGAAAUGUAGAUGCUCAACAUCUGCACUGCAGUUGAAACUGGUUUUCUUGAGUGCGUAAGGGGCAGGCGGAAUUCGUCGUGUAGCGGUGAAAUGCGUAGAUAUGACGAAGAACUCCGAUCGCGGAGGCGGCAUGCCGGGCCGCGACUGACGCUGAAGCUCGAAGGUGCGGGUAUCGAACAGGAUUAGAUACCCUGGUAGUCCGCACAGUAAACGAUGGAUACUCGCCGUCGGCGAUAUACGGUCGGUGGCCAAGCGAAAGCGUUAAGUAUCCCACCUGGGGAGUACGCCGGCAACGGUGAAACUCAAAUGAAUUGACGGGG